rnacentral:tRNA from 1 species
CUCAGAAUGCUUUAGAUGGUUAAGAGUCUGCCUGCAAUGCAGGAAAUCUGGGUUCGACCCCCAGGUCAGAAA